AGAGUUUGAUCCUGGCUCAGGACGGACGCUGGCGGCGUGCUUUAUACAUGCAAGUCGAACGAUGAAGUUCCUUCGGGAAUGGAUUAGUGGCGAACGGGUGAGGAACACGUGAGAAACCUGCCUUUCAUUCUGGGAUAACACCGGGAAACCGGUGCUAAUACCGGAUACUCCAUCUUGGCGGCAUCGCCGAGCUGGGAAAAAAUUUUGAUGAAAGAUGGUCUCGCGGCCUAUCAGCUAGUUGGUGAGGUAAAGGCUCACCAAGGCGACGACGGGUAGCCGGCCUGAGAGGGCGACCGGCCACACUGGGACUGAGACACGGCCCAGACUCCUACGGGAGGCAGCAGUAGGGAAUAUUGGGCAAUGGGCGAAAGCCUGACCCAGCGACGCCGCGUGAGGGAUGAAGGUCUUCGGAUUGUAAACCUCUUUCAGUAGGGAAGAAGCGAAAGUGACGGUACCUAAAGAAGAAGCACCGGCUAACUAUGUGCCAGCAGCCGCGGUAAUACAUAGGGUGCAAGCGUUGUCCGGAAUUAUUGGGCGUAAAGAGCUCGUAGGUCGUUUGUCGCGUCGAUUGUGAAAAUCUGAGGCUCAACCUCAGACCUGCAGUCGAUACGGGCAAACUAGAGUGUGGUAGGGGAGACUGGAAUUCCUGGUGUAGCGGUGGAAUGCGCAGAUAUCAGGAGGAACACCAAUGGCGAAGGCAGGUCUCUGGGCCAUAACUGACACUGAGGAGCGAAAGUGCGGGGAGCGAACAGGAUUAGAUACCCUGGUAGUCCGCACCGUAAACGGUGGGCACUAGUUGUGGGAACCUUCCACGGUUUCCGCGACGCAGCAAACGCAUUAAGUGCCCCGCCUGGGGAGUACGAUCGCAAGAUUAAAACUCAAAGGAAUUGACGGGGCCCCGCACAAGCAGCGGAGCAUGCGGCUUAAUUCGACGCAACGCGAAGAA
rnacentral:rRNA from 1 species